GACGAACGCUGGCGGCGUGCUUAACACAUGCAAGUCGAACGGUAAGGCCUUCGGGUACACGAGUGGCGAACGGGUGAGUAACACGUGGGUGAUCUGCCCCCUACUCUGGGAUAAGCCUGGGAAACUGGGUCUAAUACCGGAUAUGACCUCCUUCUGCAUGGUUGGUGGUGGAAAGUUUUUUCGGUAGGGGAUGAGCCCGCGGCCUAUCAGCUUGUUAGUGGGGUAAUGGCCUACCAAGGCGACGACGGGUAGCCGGCCUGAGAGGGCGACCGGCCACACUGGGACUGAGACACGGCCCAGACUCCGACGGGAGGCAGCAGUGGGGAAUAUUGCACAAUGGGCGAAAGCCUGAUGCAGCGACGCCGCGUGGGGGAUGACGGCCUUCGGGUUGUAAACCCCUUUCAGUCGGGACGAAGCGAGAGUGACGGUACCGAUAGAAGAAGCACCGGCCAACUACGUGCCAGCCGCCGCCGUAAGAC
rnacentral:rRNA from 1 species